rnacentral:rRNA from 1 species
GAUCCUGGCUCAGGAUGAACGCCAGCGGCAGGCUUAACACAUGCAAGUCGAGGGGCAGCAUAAUGGAUAGCAAUAUCUAUGGUGGCGACCGGCGCACGGGUGCGUAACGCGUAUGCAACCUGCCUUUAACAGGGGGAUAACACUGAGAAAUUGGUACUAAUACCCCAUAAUAUCAUAGAAGGCAUCUUUUAUGGUUGAAAAUUCCGAUGGUUAGAGAUGGGCAUGCGUUGUA